rnacentral:rRNA from 1 species
GGGGAAUUUUGGACAAUGGGCGCAAGCCUGAUCCAGCCAUGCCGCGUGAGUGAAGAAGGCCUUCGGGUUGUAAAGCUCUUUCGGCGGGGAAGAAAUGGCACGCUCUAACAUAGCGUGUUGAUGACGGUACCCGCAUAAGAAGCACCGGCUAACUACGUGCCAGCAGCCGCGGUAAUACGUAGGGUGCGAGCGUUAAUCGGAAUUACUGGGCGUAAAGCGUGCGCAGGCGGUUUCGUAAGACAGAGGUGAAAUCCCCGGGCUCAACCUGGGAAUGGCCUUUGUGACUGCGAGGCUAGAGUGUGACAGAGGGGGGUAGAAUUCCACGUGUAGCAGUGAAAUGCGUAGAGAUGUGGAGGAAUACCGAUGGCGAAGGCAGCCCCCUGGGUUACUACUGACGCUCAUGCACGAAAGCGUGGGGAGCAAAC